rnacentral:rRNA from 1 species
AGGAUGAACGCUGGCGGCGUGCCUAAUACAUGCAAGUCGAGCGGUAAGGCCUCUUCGGAGGUACACGAGCGGCGGACGGCUGAGUAACACGUAGGAACGUACCCCAAACUGAGGGAUAAGCACCAGAAAUGGUGUCUAAUACCGCAUGUGCUCUAAGGAGUAAAGCUUCGGCGGUUUGGGAGCGGCCUGCGCAUGAUUAGCUUGUUGGUGAGGUAAAAGCUCACCAAGGCGACGAUCAUUAGCUGGUCUGAGAGGAUGAUCAGCCAGACUGGGACUGAGAACGGCCCAGACUCCUACGGAGGCAGCAGUAGGGAAUUUUCCACAAU